CAAAGAGGUGCUUACUGCCAUGAUUAUAAGUUUCCUGAGGCCUUCCCCAGCCCGGCAGAACUCUCAUUUGGCAGAAUGCUGAAGCCUUACUGGUCUGAGGUGUCAGAGGUCAGAGCCUGAGACUGACAGAGGAGCCACAGGUGACCAGCAAACUGCAGAAGCUCUGGGGAGAACUCCAUGGAGUCAGGCUAAAAACAGCAGCAACCAGAAACUGUAAGAACUGAGCAGAGAUACCAGCUGCACCACUAGAGAGACAAAGUGUGUAGCUCACUGCCUAGUACAGCAAAAUAGCCACAAUCCUCAGAAGGACACAACAGAAUCUGGAAUCACUAGAAAGUAUUAUCUACAAUGCUCAUUCUUAACCAUGCAAAGAAGAAACAGGAAAGUGUGAUUCAAAGUCAGAAAAAAGUCAGUCAAUAGAAAUCUACUCUGUUAGGGACAGGUGUUGGUGAAUUAAGUAAUUAGAGACUCUAAAGCAGCUAUGAUAAAUAUGUUCACAGAGGAAAGCUCAAUAGAGAAAUGAAACUUCAAACAUGGAAAUUUAAGACUUGAAAAGUACAAAAACUAGAAAGAAAAAUUUACUAGGUGGACCAAACGGCAGAUUAGAGAUGCCAAAAUUGCAUAAAUUGAACAGAGAUCAAAAGACGUUAUUUAAUCUAAAAAAUUGAAGAAAAAUGAGCAGAGCCUUAGAGUCCUGUAAAAUAUCAAGCAAGAUAACAUAUAUGUAAUUGGGUUCCGGAGGGAGAGAAGGAAUGGAAAAAAAUAUUUGCAUAAAUAAUGACUGAAAAAUUCCAUGAUUGGCAGAAAACACUAAUUUACAGAUCUAAGAAGGUCAAGCACCCCAAGCAGGAUAUAUAAUUAUAUCACUUCCAUGCAGAAGAGAAAUGCAGAAAGCCAAAGAUAAAGAGCAAAGUGUUGAAAGCAGCCAAAGAAAAGUGACACAUCACGUACAGGAAAAUAGUUCAGCUCAAUGGCUGAAUUUUCAUCAGAAAUACUGGCAUUCAGAAGAAAUUUAAAAAUGCUGAAAACAAAACUAGCAGCCAAGAAUUUUGUAUCAAGCAAAAAUGUCUUUUCAAAAUUAAAGGCAAAAGGAAGCAACUUCCAGAUAAAUUUAAAAGACAGAAUUUAUGCCAUUAUAUUUACACUGUAAGAAAUGCUAAAUGAGGUUCUUCAGGUUGAAGGGAAAUGACCCUGAUGACAACAUGGAUCUACAGGAAAAAAUGAAAAGCAUCAGAAAUCAUACAUAUGUGAGUAAAUAUAAAAUACUAAAUAUUGAUAGAUGAAUAUAUGGAUAGGUACUACACAAACACAUAUGAACAUAUAAUUCUUAAUAUCUUAACACAUGAUAUAGGACUCUUCAAAACAAAAAAUUAUUACAUUGUAUUGUUGGGUUUGUAAUGGACACAGAUAUAAAAUAUGUAACAAUAUUAAGAGUAGGAAAAGUAGAGAUACAUUGUUAAAAGGUUCUAGUAUUUUACUUGAAGUAGUUCAAUAUUAACUCUAGACUAUUAUAAGUUAAAGUUAAGUUGCGUAUUGUAAUCACUACAGCAACCACUAAAAAUAGAACAAAGAAAUACGGCAAAAAAGCCAAGAGACGAAUUAAAAUGUAACACUAAAGAAAAAAAAAAAACACUACGGGGGGCCGGGUGCAGUGGCUCAUGCCUGUAGUCCCAGCACUUUGGGAAGCCAAGGCAGGAGGAUCACCUGAGGUCAGGAGUUCGAGACUAGCCUGGCCAACAUGGUGAAACCCCUCCCCCCAACCAAAAAUACAAAAAUUAGCUGGAUGUGGUGGCACGUGCCUGUAAUCCCAGCUAGUUGGGAGGCUGAGUAGGAAAAUCACUUGAACCCAGGAGGCAGAAAUUGCAGUGAGCAGAGAUCGUGCCACUGCUCUCCAGCCUGGGUGACAGAGCAAGGCUCCAUCUCAAAAAAAAAAAAAAAAAUUAACACUACAAAAGGCAGGAAGAGAGGAACUGUGGAAUAAAACAGAUCAGACAAAUAUAAAUGGGAAGCUUAACUAUAACCAAAUCAAUAAUCAUAUGAUAAUUGAAAACUAAUCAAAAGGUAAUUAAGUGGAAACUGACAUAUUAAUAUGUGUUCAGUCCAUAUACAUAUAUUAUCUCUUUAGUUCCUUUUAAAAAGUGUUUUAUAUUUUUCAGUGUAUAGAUUUUGCAAAAAGUUUGGUAAAUUUAUCCCCAUGUAGUUCAUAUUUUAGGAAGGUAUUAUAAGUUCAAUUGUACUUUUGCUGUUUUGUUCAUUGCUCACAUAUAGAAAUAUGAUAAAUUUUUAUGUAUUGAACUUUCAUCCUUUGACCUCGAUAGAUCUAUUUAUUAGUUCUAGUAAGUUUCUGUAGUCUUCUUAAGAUUUUCUGUAUAAAUGGUCAUGCAAUCUGAAUAAAUACAGUUUUACGGCUUCCU
rnacentral:lncRNA from 1 species